rnacentral:rRNA from 1 species
UACGUAGGCAGCGAGCGUUGUUCGGAGUUACUGGGCGUAAAGCGUGCGUAGGCGGUGAUCCAAGUCUGGUGUGAAAUCUCCCGGCUCAACUGGGAGGGUGCGCCGGAAACUGGGCCGCUGGAGUACGGGAGAGGCAAGCGGAAUUCCAGGUGUAGCGGUGAAAUGCGUAGAUAUCUGGAGGAACACCCGUGGUGCAGACGGCUUGCUGGACCGUGACUGACGCUGAGGCACGAAAGCGUGGGUAGCAAACAGG